UAAGACGAACCGUGCGAACGUUGUUCGGAAUCACUGGGCUUAAAGGGCGCGUAGGCGGGCGAUCAAGUCAGGGGUGAAAGCCUCCAGCUCAACUGGAGAAGUGCCUCUGAUACUGGCCGUCUCGAGGGAGGUAGGGGCGUGCGGAACUUCCGGUGGAGCGGUGAAAUGCGUAGAUAUCGGAAGGAACACCGGUGGCGAAAGCGGCGCGCUGGACCUCUUCUGACGCUGAGGCGCGAAAGCCAGGGGAGCGAACGGGAUUAGAUACCCCGGUAGUCCUGGCCCUAAACGUUGGGUACUAGGUUGUGGGCUUACAUGGGCUCACAGCCGAAGCAAAAGUAUUAAGUACCCCGCCUGGGGAGUAUGGUCGCAAGGCUG
rnacentral:rRNA from 1 species